rnacentral:rRNA from 1 species
ACGGAAGGCAGCAGUGGGGGAUAUUGCACAAUGGGGGAAACCCUGAUGCAGCAACGCCACGUGUGGGAAGAAGCAUUUCGGUGUGUAAACCACUGUCGUGAGGGAAUAAUGCUUAAUUUCGGUUAAGCUGAAUGUACCUCGAAAGGAAGCACCGGCAAACUUCGUGCCAGCAGCCGCGGUAAUACGAGGGGUGCAAGCGUUGUUCGGAAUCACUGGGCGUAAAGGGAGCGCAGGCGGAGAUGCAAGCAGUCUGUACAAUACCGGGGCCCAACCCAGGACCUGCAGACUGGACUGGUUCUCUUGGAUAGUUCAGGGGCAAGCGGAAUUCCUGGUGUAGCGGUGGAAUGCGUAGAGAUCAGGAAGAACACCGAUGGCGAAGGCAGCUUGCUGGGGGCUUAUCGACGCUCAUGCUCGAAAGUGCGGGUAGCAAACAGGAUUAGAUACCCUGGUA